rnacentral:rRNA from 1 species
AUAUCAAUAAGCGGAGGAAAAGAAACUAACAAGGAUUCCCUUAGUAACGGCGAGUGAAGUGGGAAGAGCUCAAGCUUAAAACCUGUGUCUCUCUGGGGCACCGGAUUGUAGCCUAAAGAGGGAGCGUCCUGACAGACGGUGACCUAAAUGCUUUGGAAUAAGCUGCCAAAGAGGGUGCGAGCCCCGUUCUUGGUUGCCGAGCCUGUCUUUUGUGAUGCCCUUUCAUUGAGUAGGAUUGCUUGAGAGUGCAGUCCGAAGUGGGUGGUAUACUUCAUCUAAAGCUAAAUAUUGACACGAGACCGAUAGCGCACAAGUA